ensembl:snRNA U6 U6 spliceosomal RNA
GCACUGGCUGCGGCAGCACAGACACUAAAAUUGGAGUGACACAGAGGAGUUAGCAGGGCCCUUGUGCAAGGAUGACAUGCAAAUUCAUGAAGCCUUCCAUAUUUUU